GUUUGUUAAUUAAUUUUAAUUAGUAAUUAAUUAUUUUAAUUAGUCAAUUAAUUUAAAAAUUAAUUGAUUAAUUAUUUUAAUUAAUUAUUAAUUGAUUUUAAUUGAUUAAUUAAUUGGAUUUAAUUAAUCCUUUUUGAUUUAAAAAUUCCGAAAAAUAGUUUCGAGUUUUGAAAUAUUUUUCUAAAUAAUUUUCAAGGCUCGAUAAUUGUUUAUGAAUGAUUUCAAGUCCAAUUUUGAGUAUUUGGGACUUGAUUAUUUAUUCGAAAAGUGAUUCUUUUAUCGAUUUUAAUUCCGAAAAAUGUUUAAAAAUUCCAGAAAAUUCCCGAAAAAUCAUUUUUAACCCAAGACUUGAUUUAAUAUCAAUUGGGAUGGGAAACCUUAUGUGUUGUGUGUUGUCUGCUAUUGGUUGGAUGUGUUAUGUGCCGAUAGGAGAGUGAGAAAACUGUUUUGAGCAUAACUUUUGAUCCGUAAGUCGGAAUCAAGUGAAACGAAAGAGAGACAGAAGAUUAUAACGUCUAUUUUAAUAUGAUGUGACUAUAUGGAUGAGUCUAUAAGGUGAAUAAUUGUUGAUAAGUAUGCAUAAUGUGAUAAUAUGUGAUCUAAGUGCUAUCAGGUGAUGAUUAUGUGAAGUACGUGUUAGUUUUGAUAUUGUGAAGUGAUAAAUGAUUCGUAUGAUUGAUAUUGGAUAAGAAUAUAUGGAUUAUAGCUAUUGGAUUUUGUUGGUUGAUUAAUGAUUGGGAUAAGAUAAUAGGUGGAUAGUCUUAUACAUAGACGAGACGAUGUCGGAUUUUCGAUAAGGAUUUAUAUGAUAAUUGAUUGGUGAUAGGUUAUGUGGAAUAUGAUUGACUAUAUGUUAGAGUUAAAGCAUGCUUAUGUGUUACGUGGUAUCUGAUAAGUUUAAAGGGAUAUAUAAGUGGGUAUUGAUAUACGUGAGAUGUAUAUGCGAUCGAUUGUUUAGUGAUUAUAGUGUUAUCUUAUUCUCGUAAAGGAUUUGGACGAGACGUGUAUGCCCGAAGACGUUCAGAAAGUCACGUGGUGUUACAAAGCGGAUAAGGGAUGAAUCGAGUAAGCGAAGCGAAGAUAUACGGUAGAUAGAGUAUAGCCAGAGAUGGUCUAGAGACUAUGAGAUGCAUAGAUUGUGAAAGUGGAAAGAUGAGAUUGAGAUGUGAGACUGGAGUCAGAUUUAAGAAAGGCUUAAAGAUGAGAUGAUUGGUUGAGAUUGUGAGUAAGGCUAAUGCUAGGCGAGGAGACAGAGUUGAGGAUCCAGUGGUCGAGGAGUGUUCAGGAAAGUUGAUGAGGUUGGUGCAAGCUGGAAUAGUUGACAGUGAGUCUUCUUAUCGAAGAUGAUCUGAUUUGGUAAGAGAUGUUGUGUAAUAAUAGUGGUAGAUUCUAAUUUCAAUACUGUAACCUGGAUGCGAUCCUGUUGCUUUUAGGGGGUUUAAAUGUUCUCUUUCGAAUCAUUUAUUAAAGUUUAAAUGUUCUCUUGAAA